AGAGGAGGAGAGAGAGACCAACCCUAGAUUCACGAGCGCACGAGAAGAAAAAUCGCACAGCGGCCUCCUUGCUCCUCGCUCGCAGCCGCUCCUCUCCCUGACCCACACCGCGGGCCCUAUCUCUCUGGUCGCCUCCUCCUCUCCUAUUCCCUGCCGUCAUGGUUCCGGAUCGGGGCUUGGGCCAUCGUCGUGGGGGAGCAGGGACGGCGGGGUCUUCACAAUGGAGGUGGAGCUGUAGGGGAGGGGAGGAUGCCGACGAUAAGGGAAAGGAGGAGGCCGAAGAGGACGGCAAUGGGGAGGCCGGCAGGGAAGGAGCAGAGAGAGGGCUUCUGCUUCUUCCAGCGGGCCAUGGCACUCGAGUUCAUCAUUAUCGUGUCCCUUGAGUUGAGGCCCCGUCGCUCCCACUCCUCUCACUUUCUCGCGACAUCUCGCCGUCGAUCGCCACCCCAUUUCAAAAAAUUCAGAGAGAGAUGAUGUGCGGCUCCCUCUGGCAGCUCCUGGCCGUGGUCGUGGCCGUGUCAGCGGUGACGCGGGCGGUGGCCGCCCUGAAGGCUGGUCGGAGCCUGCACCGGGACUUCGACGACGGCCGGGUGGUGGAGCUGGCGCUGGACCGGGAGACGGGGUCCAGGCUGGAGUCCAAGGACCGGUACCUCUUCGGGCGGUUCGAUCUCGACAUCAGGCUCGUCGCCGGCGAGUCCGCCGGGACCAUCACUUCCUUGUACCCUCCUCCGAUGAGGGAGGUGGCUCUGCCCAGCCAUGGCCCUAGCACUCGCCGUGGGAGAGUAGGGCGGCGCCGUCGUGGGGUGGAUGACCAGGGGAUAUCCAGGAUGCCGGCGGUGGGUCGAAGAAGCAGAGAUGCAGCACAUUCUCUUCCUCUCUUCCUUGCUGACGACGCGUCCCGCAAGGUGAUGCGUUCUCGUCUCUUCCCUUCUGGUUGCACGUCAGCUCCUUUUUCCAAUCCCAUGCUCUGCUCUCCUCAUGCCCCUCCUCCUCUUGCUCCUCCUAUGUAUUUUUUUAAUUUCUUUUGUGCGAUUUUACUCAAUGGUGCUUGCACGUCCAUGGAUCUAGAAGUAGCAUGUUCAUUCUUCUUAGUUCAUGUUUUAUGUGUAGCAUUUCGUAGGCUAAAAAUUGAAAGGAGAUGUGAUGAUACUGUCUUUUGACUCCCUCCAUCCUACCUGUACAGAAUUUAUAGUUGCCAGGCAUAUGGUGGGCUAAUCAAAUGCAAGCUAUGAGGAGCUAAAAGAAGUAGGAUAUUCCGAGCAAGGGACUCUACUUUAUGGGUUUGAUUGUUGUGGCAGAAUCAAUGGACUACACCAACUGCUAUUGAAGAAGUAUAUGUAGAAUGCAUAGUUAUGGUGUGAUAGGGCCAGUGUUGUUGUCUGACAGUUGUGCAUUCUUCACCUUGGAUGGUCAAAGAUAUGUUCGCUAGCCUGAUGCUGCUCCAUCGGUGGAUCUACAGAUUGUUCUAUUAUGAAGUAUUGGUUUAUUAUUGAGGUAGCCUUAGACGGAGGAGCUGAAUGCAGUUUUUGUAUCUUUUUUCAAUGUCCUGAAUGGUCCCAUGAAAAUCCUGGCUAAGAGCCAUGAAUAGGAUCAAGGCAGCACACUACACCUCUGAGAAGAAAAGGAUAUGAAGACAAAGAUAGAUCAGUGUUCUGCUCCGAAGCAAAAACAUUUUGCAUAGAAAUCCGAAAUGAUAGGAAAGGAGAAGUCUCGCCACUUGAGUACGCUUCUCUCACUCAAAGGAGGGACCGAGGAAAAGAAAGGGGAUAAACAGGGGAUAAACAGAGCAGGCAUGAUGGAUGCAGGCGCUGCCGCUUCAUAUUCUACUUCGGACGAGCAACACAAAGAAUUGUUCUUGGACCGGGCUAGGUAGCAUAUGGGCCUUUCAAAUACCUAUGUCUCCAUAUGCACAACACAGUGAGGUUUUUUCUCUUGUGCACAUGAAAAAUAAAAGUUUAGUGCAAACACUGUUAAAAAAGUACAUCCUUAACUGCUCUAUACAUAUUAUACAAAUAUGAUUUUUUUUCAAACUCAGAUUUCUCAUAGUGAUAACCA